GGAGGCUAUAUACAGGGGUACCGGUACAGAGUCAAUGUGGAGGCUAUAUACAGGGGUACCGGUACAGAGUCAAUGUGGAGGCUAUAUACAGGGGUACCGGUACAGAGUCAAUGUGGAGGCUAUAUACAGGGGGAACCGGUACAGAGUCAAUGUGGAGGCUAUAUACAGGGGGACUGGUACAGAGUCAAUGUGGAGGCUAUAUACAGGGGGACUGGUACAGAGUCAAUGUGGAGGCUAUAUACAGGGGGGACUGGUACAGAGUCAAUGUGGAGGCUAUAUACAGGGGGUACCGGAACAGAGUCAAUGUGGAGGCUAUAUACAGAGGGUACCGGAACAGAGUCAAUGUGGAGGCUAUAUACAGGGUGUACCGGUACAGAGUCAUUGUGGAGGCUAUAUACAGGGUGUUACGGUACAGAGUCAAUGUGGAGGCUAUAUACAGGGGGUACCGGUACAGAGUCAAUGUGGAGGCUAUAUACAGGG
ensembl:lncRNA